GUGAGUGGCUCUGUUUGUGGGCGUGGGUAGCCAUUCUUGUUUGGGGCAGAAGCCUGACAGUUGAUGUAAACGGUUCUCAUCUUUACCUUGGGCAAAAUUUCGUUUUAAUUUCUAGAGUCGAGGAAGGAAACCCCCCAGAAUCCAUCAGGUUGCUGAGAUUAGAUUUAACCCCUUCGUAGCCUGAUUGUUUAAAGGACGUUUCCGUUUAUUAUAUAAACUCAAAGUUGCGGAGGGAUGUUUUGUAAAAGAAACUUUGUAUUUUAAGAAACAUCGUGGUCUCGAAGGGGUGGGAAUGGGGAAUUGAAAAAGGAACUAACGGAUAGCGUCCGCCAUCAAGUUUCCUGUCUGGUAGAGGAGACAUUGUCCUUGCCCUUAGCUAACAGCAAGUGAGUUAGUUGAUGUCGCGGGGAGGAGGCAAAACCAUUCUCCAGAAGCUGCAGGUCAAAUAAUUCCCAAUUUAGCUCUGUGGCGAGUGCCCACUUCCUAACCGCACUGUGUUUGGGUUUGAGACCACUGGGGGCCCUGGGGUGAAAAAUGUGAUUUGAAAGUGGGGAAUGCAGUACCAGAGUCAGAAAAGCUUUGAACCCCAUUUAGCUCAAAUGACCUCUGGCAUCCAGAUGCUUGAGCAGAGAGUUACGAGGCGGAGGAAGAGGAAGGAAUGUUUUUAGUGAAGUUGAAGCCCCCAAAAGAAUGGACAUUUAAAUAAUAAUGAGAGGGCCUAGGAAGGAGAAGUUGGUCACAGAUACUAGGCUGAAAGAAGAGCCUUAAGAAAAGGCUGGAAAGUGGAGAGCAGGCGUU
rnacentral:lncRNA from 1 species